rnacentral:rRNA from 1 species
AUUGAACGCUGGCGGCAGGCCUAACACAUGCAAGUCGAGCGGAUGAAGGGAGCUUGCUCCUGGAUUCAGCGGCGGACGGGUGAGUAAUGCCUAGGAAUCUGCCUGGUAGUGGGGGAUAACGUCCAGAAACGGGCGCUAAUACUGCAUACGUCCUGAGGGAGAAAGUGGGGGAUCUUCGGACCUCACGCUAUCAGAUGAGCCUAGGUCGGAUUAGCUAGUUGGUGGGGUAAAGGCCUACCAAGGCGACGAUCCGUAACUGGUCUGAGAGGAUGAUCAGUCACACUGGAACUGAGACACGGUCCAGACUCCUACGGGAGGCAGCAGUGGGGAAUAUUGGACAAUGGGCGAAAGCCUGAUCCAGCCAUGCCGCGUGUGUGAAGAAGGUCUUCGGAUUGUAAAGCACUUUAAGUUGGGAGGAAGGGCAGUAAGUUAAUACCUUGCUGUUUUGACGUUACCAACAGAAUAAGCACCGGCUAACUUCGUG